AACGAACGCUGGCGGCAUGCCUAACACAUGCAAGUCGAACGAGACCUUCGGGUCUAGUGGCGCACGGGUGCGUAACGCGUGGGAAUCUGCCCUUGGGUUCGGGAUAACAGUUGGAAACGACUGCUAAUACCGGAUGAUGUCUUCGGACCAAAGAUUUAUCGCCCAGGGAUGAGCCCGCGUCGGAUUAGCUAGUUGGUGAGGUAAAGGCUCACCAAGGCGACGAUCCGUAGCUGGUCUGAGAGGAUGAUCAGCCACACUGGGACUGAGACACGGCCCAGACUCCUACGGGAGGCAGCAGUGGGGAAUAUUGGACAAUGGGCGAAAGCCUGAUCCAGCAAUGCCGCGUGAGUGAUGAAGGCCUUAGGGUUGUAAAGCUCUUUUACCCGGGAUGAUAAUGACAGUACCGGGAGAAUAAGCCCCGGCUAACUCCGUGCCAGCAGCCGCGGUAAUACGGAGGGGGCUAGCGUUGUUCGGAAUUACUGGGCGUAAAGCGCGCGUA
rnacentral:rRNA from 1 species